AUUGAACGCUGGCGGCAGGCCUAACACAUGCAAGUCGAGCGGAUGAAGGGAGCUUGCUCCUGGAUUCAGCGGCGGACGGGUGAGUAAUGCCUAGGAAUCUGCCUGGUAGUGGGGGAUAACGUCCGGAAACGGGCGCUAAUACCGCAUACGUCCUGAGGGAGAAAGUGGGGGAUCUUCGGACCUCACGCUAUCAGAUGAGCCUAGGUCGGAUUAGCUAGUUGGUGGGGUAAAGGCCUACCAAGGCGACGAUCCGUAACUGGUCUGAGAGGAUGAUCAGUCACACUGGAACUGAGACACGGUCCAGACUCCUACGGGAGGCAGCAGUGGGGAAUAUUGGACAAUGGGCGAAAGCCUUAUCCAGCCAUGCCGCGUGUGUGAAGAAGGCCUUCGGAUUGUAAAGCACUUUAAGUUGGGAGGAAGGGCAGUAAGUUAAUACCUUGCUGUUUUGACGUUACCAACAGAAUAAGCACCGGCUAACUUCGUG
rnacentral:rRNA from 1 species